UUAAAGAGGAAAGGGGUGCUACGCCCGACCUCCAACCCUUUGUUGUUAAAACUACCUUGUUGCUUUGGCGGGACCGCUCGGUCUCGAGCCGCUGGGGAUUCGUCCCAGGCGAGCGCCCGCCAGAGUUAAACCAAACUCUUGUUAUUUAACCGGUCGUCUGAGUUAAAAUUUUGAAUAAAUCAAAACUUUCAACAACGGAUCUCUUGGUUCUCGCAUCGAUGAAGAACGCAGCGAAAUGCGAUAAGUAAUGUGAAUUGCAGAAUUCAGUGAAUCAUCGAAUCUUUGAACGCACAUUGCGCCCCUUGGUAUUCCGAGGGGCAUGCCUGUUCGAGCGUCAUUACACCACUCAAGCUAUGCUUGGUAUUGGGCGUCGUCCUUAGUUGGGCGCGCCUUAAAGACCUCGGCGAGGCCACUCCGGCUUUAGGCGUAGUAGAAUUUAUUCGAACGUCUGUCAAAGGAGAGGAACUCUGCCGACUGAAACCUUUAUUUUUCUAGGUUGACCUCGGAUCAGGUAGGGAUACCCGCUGAACUUAA
rnacentral:misc_RNA from 1 species